rnacentral:rRNA from 1 species
GACGAACGCUGGCGGCGUGCUUAACACAUGCAAGUCGAACGGAAAGGCCCUGCUUUUGUGGGGUGCUCGAGUGGCGAACGGGUGAGUAACACGUGAGUAACCUGCCCUUGACUUUGGGAUAACUUCAGGAAACUGGGGCUAAUACCGGAUAGGAGCUCCUGCUGCAUGGUGGGGGUUGGAAAGUUUCGGCGGUUGGGGAUGGACUCGCGGCUUAUCAGCUUGUUGGUGGGGUAGUGGCUUACCAAGGCUUUGACGGGUAGCCGGCCUGAGAGGGUGACCGGCCACAUUGGGACUGAGAUACGACCCAGACUCCUACUGGAGGCAGCAGUGUUGAAUAUUUCACAAUGGGCGGAAGCCUGAUGCAGCAACGCCGCGUGCGGGAUGACGGCCUUCGGGUUGUAAACCGCUUUCGCCUGUGACGAAGCGUGAGUGACGGUAAUGGGUAAAGAAGCACCGGCUAACUACGUG